rnacentral:rRNA from 1 species
GAGCCCAAGAUUGAAAGCUGGCGUCUUCGGCGUCCGCAUUGUAAUCUCAAGAAGUGUUUUCCGCUUCGGACCAAGCCUAAGUCCCCUGGAAAGGGGCAUCAUAGAGGGUGAUAAUCCCGUACAUGGCUUGGAGCGCCCGAGGCUUUGUGAUACGCUUUCUAAGAGUCGAGUUGUUUGAGAAUGCAGCUCAAAAUGGGUGGUAAAUGCCAUCUAAGGCUAAAUAUUGGGGAGAGACCGAUAGCGAACAAGUACAGUGAUGGAAAGAUGAAAAGAACUUUGAAAAGAGAGUUAAACAGUACGUGAAAUUGCCAAAAGGGAAGGGUAGGAGGUCAGAGAUGCGGCCUGGGAUUCAGCCUUGCUUUUGCUUGGUGUUUUUCCCAGAUUGCAGGCCAACGUCGGUUUUGGGCACUGGAGAAGGGUAGGAGGAACGUGGCACCCCUCGGGGUGUGUUAUAGCCUCCUACUGGAUACAGCGACCGAGACCGAGGACAGCAGCGUACUCGCAAGAGCGGGCCUUCGGGCACCUUUACGCUUAGGGCGUUGGCAUAAUGGCCCUCUACCACCCGUCUUG